rnacentral:rRNA from 1 species
GAUGAACGCUGGCGGCGUGCCUAAUACAUGCAAGUCGAGCGAACAGACGAGGAGCUUGCUCCUCUGACGUUAGCGGCGGACGGGUGAGUAACACGUGGAUAACCUACCUAUAAGACUGGGAUAACUUCGGGAAACCGGAGCUAAUACCGGAUAAUAUAUUGAACCGCAUGGUUCAAUAGUGAAAGACGGUUUUGCUGUCACUUAUAGAUGGAUCCGCGCCGCAUUAGCUAGUUGGUAAGGUAACGGCUUACCAAGGCAACGAUGCGUAGCCGACCUGAGAGGGUGAUCGGCCACACUGGAACUGAGACGCGGUCCAGACUCCUACGGGAGGCAGCAGUAGGGAAUCUUCCGCAAUGGGCGAAAGCCUGACGGAGCAACGCCGCGUGAGUGAUGAAGAUCUUCGGAUCGUAAAACUCUGUUAUUAGGGAAGAACAAAUGUGUAAGUAACUAUGCACGUCUUGACGGUACCUAAUCAGAAAGCCACGGCUAACUACGUG